ACCCCGGCUGUAACGCAAUGGAUAGCGCGUUGGACUUCUCAUCCAAAAGUCGUGGGCUCGAAUACCACCUGGGAUG